rnacentral:sRNA from 1 species
GAUACCAGGGCCCAAAGGCCAGACACCUGGCGCAAGCCCGCUUGCAAGGAGAGUUCUGACUUUGAAGCCCGUCAAAACCAUAAAUAAGAAACCGUUUUUGCAGAAAAACCAGGGGAUUAUGAAUGUUUAUGACGACUGCGGAAGUGCGCAGCACGAAACAAUCUGG